rnacentral:rRNA from 2 species
UGAGUGGCGAAGGGGUGAGUAACACGUGGGAAACCUGCCCAGAAGCGGGGGAUAACACCUGGAAACAGAUGCUAAUACCGCAUAACAACUUGGACCGCAGGGUCCGAGUUUGAAAGAUGGCUUCGGCUAUCACUUUUGGAUGGUCCCGCGGCGUAUUAGCUAGAUGGUGGGGUAACGGCUCACCAUGGCAAUGAUACGUAGCCGACCUGAGAGGGUAAUCGGCCACAUUGGGACUGAGACACGGCCCAAACUCCUACGGGAGGCAGCAGUAGGGAAUCUUCCACAAUGGACGAAAGUCUGAUGGAGCAACGCCGCGUGAGUGAAGAAGGGUUUCGGCUCGUAAAACUCUGUUGUUAAAGAAGAACAUAUCUGAGAGUAACUGUUCAGGUAUUGACGGUAUUUAACCAGAAAGCCACGGCUAACUACGUGCCAGCAGCCGCGGUAAUACGUAGGUGGCAAGCGUUGUCCGGAUUUAUUGGGCGUAAAGCGAGCGCAGGCGGUUUUUUAAGUCUGAUGUGAAAGCCUUCGGCUCAACCGAAGAAGUGCAUCGGAAACUGGGAAACUUGAGUGCAGAAGAGGACAGUGGAACUCCAUGUGUAGCGGUGAAAUGCGUAGAUAUAUGGAAGAACACCAGUGGCGAAGGCGGCUGUCUGGUCUGUAACUGACGCUGAGGCUCGAAAGUAUGGGUAGCAAACAGGAUUAGAUACCCUGGUAGUCCAUACCGUAAACGAUGAAUGCUAAGUGUUGGAGGGUUUCCGCCCUUCAGUGCUGCAGCUAACGCAUUAAGCAUUCCGCCUGGGGAGUACGGCCGCAAGGCUGAAACUCAAAGGAAUUGACGGGGGCCCGCACAAGCGGUGGAGCAUGUGGUUUAAUUCGAAGCUACGCGAAGAACCUUACCAGGUCUUGACAUACUAUGCAAAUCUAAGAGAUU